rnacentral:rRNA from 1 species
GAUUAAGUUAUUAAGGGCGCACGGUGGAUGCCUUGGCACUAGAAGCCGAUGAAGGACGUUACUAACGACGAUAUGCUUUGGGUAGCUGUAAGUAAGCGUCGAUCCAGAGAUUUCCGAAUGGGGGAACCCAGCAUGAGUUAUGUCAUGUUAUCGACAUGUGAAUUCAUAGCAUGUCAGAAGGCAGACCCGGAGAACUGAAACAUCUUAGUACCCGGAGGAAGAGAAAGAAAAAUCGAUUCCCUGAGUAGCGGCGAGCGAAACGGGAAGAGCCCAAACCAACAAGCUUGCUUGUUGGGGUUGUAGGACACUCUAUACGGAGUUACAAAAGAACAUGUUAGACGAAUCAUCUGGAAAGAUGAAUCAAAGAAGGUAAUAAUCCUGUAGUCGAAAACAUAUCUCUCUUGAGUAUCCUGAGUACGACGGAGCACGUGAAAUUCCGUCGGAAUCUGGGAGGACCAUCUCCUAAGGCUAAAUACUCUCUAGUGACCGAUAGUGAACCAGUACCGUGAGGGAAGGUGAAAAGUACCCCGGAAGGGGAGUGAAAGAGAACUUGAAACCGUGUGCUUACAAGUAGUCAGAGCCCGUUAAUGGGUGAUGGCGUGCCUUUGUAGAAUGAACCGGCGAGUUACGAUCUGAUGCAAGGUUAAGCAGCAAAUGUGGAGCCGCAGCGAAAGCGAGUCUGAAUAGGGCGUUGAGUAUUUGGUCGUAGACCCGAAACCAGGCGAUCUACCCUUGGUCAGGUUGAAGUUCAGGUAACACUGAAUGGAGGACCGAACCGACUUACGUUGAAAAGUGAGCGGAUGAACUGAGGGUAGCGGAGAAAUUCCAAUCGAACUUGGAGAUAGCUGGUUCUCUCCGAAAUAGCUUUAGGGCUAGCCUCAAGUGAUGAUUAUUGGAGGUAGAGCACUGUUGGACGGGGCCCCUCUCGGGUUACCGAAUUCAGACAAACUCCGAAUGCCAAUUAAUUUAACUUGGGAGUCAGAACAUGGGUGAUAAGGUCCGUGUUCGAAAGGGAAACAGCCCAGACCACCAGCUAAGGUCCCAAAAUAUAUGUUAAGUGGAAAAGGAUGUGGCGUUGCCCAGACAACUAGGAUGUUGGCUUAGAAGCAGCCAUCAUUUAAAGAGUGCGUAAUAGCUCACUAGUCGAGUGACACUGCGCCGAAAAUGUACCGGGGCUAAACAUAUUACCGAAGCUGUGGAUUGUCCUUUGGACAAUGGUAGAGAGCGUUCUAAGGGCGUCGAAGCAUGAUCGCAAGGACAUGUGGAGCGCUUAGAAGUGAGAAUGCCGGUGUGAGUAGCGAAAGACGGGUGAGAAUCCCGUCCACCGAUUGACUAAGGUUUCCAGAGGAAGGCUCGUCCGCUCUGGGUUAGUCGGGUCCUAAGCUGAGGCCGACAGGCGUAGGCGAUGGAUAACAGGUUGAUAUUCCUGUACCACCUAGUAUCGUUUUAAUCGAUGGGGGACGCAGUAGGAUAGGCGAAGCGUGCUGUUGGAGUGCACGUCCAAGCAGUAAGGCUGAGUGUUAGGCAAAUCCGGCACUCAUAAGGCUGAGCUGUGAUGGGAGAGGAAAUUGUUUCCUCGAGUCGUUGAUUUCACACUGCCGAGAAAAGCCUCUAGAUAGAUAACAGGUGCCCGUACCGCAAACCGACACAGGUAGUCAAGAUGAGAAUUCUAAGGUGAGCGAGCGAACUCUCGUUAGGAACUCGGCAAAAUGACCCCGUAACUUCGGGAGAAGGGGUGCUCUUUAGGGUUCACGCCCAGAAGAGCCGCAGUGAAUAGGCCCAAGCGACUGUUUAUCAAAAACACAGGUCUCUGCUAAACCGUAAGGUGAUGUAUAGGGGCUGACGCCUGCCCGGUGCUGGAAGGUUAAGAGGAGUGGUUAGCUUCUGCGAAGCUACGAAUCGAAGCCCCAGUAAACGGCGGCCGUAACUAUAACGGUCCUAAGGUAGCGAAAUUCCUUGUCGGGUAAGUUCCGACCCGCACGAAAGGCGUAACGAUUUGGGCACUGUCUCAACGAGAGACUCGGUGAAAUCAUAGUACCUGUGAAGAUGCAGGUUACCCGCGACAGGACGGAAAGACCCCGUGGAGCUUUACUGUAGCCUGAUAUUGAAAUUCGGCACAGCUUGUACAGGAUAGGUAGGAGCCUUUGAAACGUGAGCGCUAGCUUACGUGGAGGCGUUGGUGGGAUACUACCCUAGCUGUGUUGGCUUUCUAACCCGCACCACUUAUCGUGGUGGGAGACAGUGUCAGGCGGGCAGUUUGACUGGGGCGGUCGCCUCCUAAAAGGUAACGGAGGCGCUCAAAGGUUCCCUCAGAAUGGUUGGAAAUCAUUCAUAGAGUGUAAAGGCAUAAGGGAGCUUGACUGCGAGACCUACAAGUCGAGCAGGGUCGAAAGACGGACUUAGCGAUCCGGUGGUUCCGCAUGGAAGGGCCAUCGCUCAACGGAUAAAAGCUACCCCGGGGAUAACAGGCUUAUCUCCCCAAGAGUUCACAUCGACGGGGAGGUUUGGCACCUCGAUGUCGGCUCAUCGCAUCCUGGGGCUGUAGUCGGUCCCAAGGGUUGGGCUGUUCGCCCAUUAAAGCGGUACGCGAGCUGGGUUCAGAACGUCGUGAGACAGUUCGGUCCCUAUCCGUCGUGGGCGUAGGAAAUUUGAGAGGAGCUGUCCUUAGUACGAGAGGACCGGGAUGGACAUACCUCUGGUGUACCAGUUGUCGUGCCAACGGCAUAGCUGGGUAGCUAUGUAUGGACGGGAUAAGUGCUGAAAGCAUCUAAGCAUGAAGCCCCCUCAAGAUGAGAUUUCCCAACUUCGGUUAUAAGAUCCUCGAAGAUGACGAGGUUAAUAGGUUCGAGGUGGAAGCGUGGUGACACGUGGAGCUGACGAAUACUAAUCGAUCGAAGACUUAAUCAA